rnacentral:rRNA from 1 species
UACGGGGGAUGCAAGCGUUAUCCGGAAUCAUUGGGCGUAAAGCGCCUGUAGGUGGUUUAUUAAGUCUGUUGUUAAAGACUAGGGCUUAACCCUGGGAAAGCAAUGGAAACUAAUAGACUUGAGUAUGAUAGGGGUAGAGGGAAUUUCUAGUGUAGCGGUGAAAUGCGUAGAUAUUAGAAAGAACACCGGUGGCGAAGGCGCUCUACUGGAUCAUUACUGACACUCAGAGGCGAAAGCUAAGGUAGCAAAAGGGAUUAGAUACCCCUGUAGUCUUAGCCGUAAACGAUGGAUACUAGAUGUUACAUUCUUAUGUAGUGUCGUAGCUAACGCGUUAAGUAUCCCGCCUGGGGAGUACGCUCGCAAGGGUG